rnacentral:rRNA from 1 species
AAGUUGGAGGCUAACGCAGGGAACUGAAACAUCUUAGUACCUGCAGGAAAAGAAAAUAAAUAAUGAUUCCCCUAGUAGUGGCGAGCGAACGGGGAAUAGCCCAAACCACCCGUGUUACGGCAUGUGUGGGGUUGUAGGACCACGCUCUCGCAAGAAAGUUAUUGAGAAGAAGCGGCUGGAAAGCCGCGCCAUAGACGGUGAUAGCCCGGUAUUCCAAGGUAAC